UACGAAGGGGGCUAGCGUUGCUCGGAAUCACUGGGCGUAAAGCGCACGUAGGCGGCUUGUUAAGUCAGGGGUGAAAUCCUGGAGCUCAACUCCAGAACUGCCUUUGAUACUGGCGAGCUUGAGUUCGGGAGAGGUGAGUGGAACUGCGAGUGUAGAGGUGAAAUUCGUAGAUAUUAGGAAGAACACCAGUGGCGAAGGCGGCUCACUGGCCCGGUACUGACGCUGAGGCGCGAAAGCGUGGUGAGCAAACAGG
rnacentral:rRNA from 1 species